rnacentral:sRNA from 1 species
CCCUAGCCCGGAUAGGAGCGACAUCCUUUGCUUGCCUUCUUUAGGCAAGGAAAGAUAUAGCGGAUAGCCGGAUUAGCU